rnacentral:rRNA from 1 species
GCAAAAGCUCAAAUUUGAAAUCCUUCGGGAGUUGUAAUUUGUAGGUUGGGAGACCCCGCGGCUAGUGGCACCAAGUCCCUUGGAACAGGGCGCCUUAGAGGGUGAGAGCCCCGUAGGUACCACAACACCGUCUUGUGUCUCCUCUCCAAAGAGUCGAGUUGUUUGGGAAUGCAGCUCAAAGUGGGUGGUAAAUUCCAUCUAAAGCUAAAUACCGGCGAGAGACCGAUAGCGAACAAGUACAGUGAUGGAAAGAUGAAAAGCACUUUGAAAAGAGAGUGAAACAGUACGUGAAAUUGUUGAAAGGGAAGGGCUUGCAAGCAGACACGGCCUUCGUGCCGGGCCAGCAUCGGUUGCUAGGGGUGGAUAAGGAACAAGGAAUGUAGCUCCUCGGAGUAUUAUAGCCUUGCGCGAUACACCCACUGGCGACCGAGGCCUGCGGUAUUCUUUACCUAGGAUGCUGGCGUAAUGGUUGCAAGCCGCCCGUCUUGAAA